CGUGACAUGAAUUGACGUGACGACGGAAAUGGUGGACAAGGUGUAUUUUCGCAAUAAAAACACCAUAUUUUGUUUAUCACUAUAGGUCUAAAGUAUAUUCGUACGUAUCAACAAAACUACUAAGAUGAAGCAACAGAGCAUGACCCAUGAGGCAAGUCCUGAAAAGUGUACUGAAGUUUUGUUUGAACAUUUGCUGAUUUAGUGCGAUAAUCCUGGUAAAGGAAGGUAUAGGAGCAACCAGUCAAUGUUAAAGUGUCAAAGCAUAUGGAAUCAUGCCUGUUUGACAAGGGUGCAUAUUAAUGCGGCAAUACAAUACUGUUUGUGAGAAUUAUAUUUGAUGGUGUCUGGAAAAAAAAUAAAACAAUUGAAAAGCAUCACAGUAGGCCUACUUGCUGCUACUUGGAAAUUGGACUCUUGCAAGAUUUCUUUUGCUUAAAUCAGAUUCAACACAAAGCCACUAUAGCACAGACAAUUCUCUGCAAGAUGAUAAGUAACUUUUGAUAUACAUCAAAGAAUUAAUAAUACUGUAAGUAUUAAGUGAAAUAUACUGAAGCUUUAUGAGAUUAUUAACUUUAUUAUUACUGUACCUUUAAUUUUGUUUAAUUCGUGU